UACGUAGGGUGCGAGCGUUAAUCGGAAUUACUGGGCGUAAAGCGUGCGCAGGCGGCUUCUCAAGUCAGGGGUGAAAGCCCAGAGCUUAACUCUGGAAUUGCCUUUGAGACUGAGAGGCUUGAGUACGGGAGAGGUGAGUGGAAUUCCCAGUGUAGAGGUGAAAUUCGUAGAUAUUGGGAGGAACACCGGUGGCGAAGGCGGCUCACUGGCCCGUAACUGACGCUCAUGCACGACAGCGUGGGGAUCAAACAGG
rnacentral:rRNA from 1 species